rnacentral:tRNA from 1 species
GCCGACGUACGCCGGCGAACAGUUGUUUUCGCAUUUGUAAACAGCUGGUCGUCAGUUCGAAUCUGACCGUCGGCU